AUUGAACGCUGGCGGCAGGCCUAGCACAUGCAAGUCGAGCGGAUGAAGGGAGCUUGCUCCUGGAUUCAGCGGCGGACGGGUGAGUAAUGCCUAGGAAUCUGCCUGGUAGUGGGGGAUAACGUCCGGAAACGGGCGCUAAUACCGCAUACGUCCUGAGGGAGAAAGUGGGGGAUCUUCGGACCUCACGCUAUCAGAUGAGCCUAGGUCGGAUUAGCUAGUUGGUGGGGUAAAGGCCUACCAAGGCGACGAUCCGUAACUGGUCUGAGAGGAUGAUCAGUCACACUGGAACUGAGGCACGGUCCAGACUCCUACGGGAGGCAGCAGUGGGGAAUAUUGGACAAUGGGCGAAAGCCUGAUCCAGCCAUGCCGCGUGUGUGAAGAAGGUCUUCGGAUUGUAAAGCACUUUAAGUUGGGAGGAAGGGCAGUAAGUUAAUACCUUGCUGUUUUGACGUUACCAACAGAAUAAGCACCGGCUAACUUCGUG
rnacentral:rRNA from 1 species